GUCCUUUAGAGUAUAAUUAAAGGUUUAACCUGCCCACUGAAAAAUUUAAAUGGCCGCAGUAAAUUGACUGUGCAAAGGUAGCAUAAUCAAUAGUUUUUUAAUUAAAAGCUUGUAUGAAUGGUUGGACGAGAUAAAAUCUGUCUUUAUAUAAUAUAUAGAAUUUAAUUUUUAAGUUAAAAAGCUUAAAUUAAUUUAAAAGACGAGAAGACCCUAUAGAUCUUAAUAAUUAUUUAUUUAAAAAUAUAUAGGAAUAAUAUUUAUUAUAACUAUUUAAUUAUUUUGUUGGGGUAAUAGAAAGAUUUAAUAAAUUCUUUUUUAAUUAAAACAGUAAUUUUUGAAUAGUUGAUCCAUUAUUAAUGAUUAAAAGAUUAAGUUACCUUAGGGAUAACAGCGUAAUUUUUUUAAAGAGUUCAUAUCGAUAAAAAAGUUUGCGACCUCGAUGUUGGAUUAAAAAUUAUUCUAGGUGUAGUAGUUUAGAGUUUUGGUCUGUUCGACCAUUAAAUUUUU
rnacentral:rRNA from 1 species